rnacentral:misc_RNA from 1 species
UAGGGCUUUCAUGUGUGUAA